AGAGUUUGAUCCUGGCUCAGAGUGAACGCUGGCGGCAGGCCUAAUACAUGCAAGUCGAACGGCAGCACAGCAGAGCUUGCUCUGUGGGGGGCGAGUGGCGGACGGGUGAGGAAUACAUGGGAAUCUGCCCAGUCGUGGGGGAUAACGUAGGGAAACUUACGCUAAUACCGCAUGCGCCCUUCGGGGGAAAGCCGGGGACCUUCGGGCCUGGCGCGAUUGGAUGAGCCCAUGUCGGAUUAGCUGGUUGGCGGGGUAACGGCCCACCAAGGCGACGAUCCGUAGCUGGUCUGAGAGGAUGAUCAGCCACACUGGAACUGAGACACGGUCCAGACUCCUACGGGAGGCAGCAGUGGGGAAUAUUGGACAAUGGGCGCAAGCCUGAUCCAGCCAUGCCGCGUGUGUGAAGAAGGCCUUCGGGUUGUAAAGCACUUUUGUCCGGAAAGAAAAGCAUCCGGUUAAUAACCGGGUGUCAUGACGGUACCGGAAGAAUAAGCACCGGCUAACUUCGUGCCAGCAGCCGCGGUAAUACGAAGGGUGCAAGCGUUACUCGGAAUUACUGGGCGUAAAGCGUGCGUAGGUGGUUUGUUAAGUCCGAUGUGAAAGCCCUGGGCUCAACCUGGGAAUGGCAUUGGAUACUGGCAGGCUAGAGUGCGGUAGAGGGGUGUGGAAUUCCCGGUGUAGCAGUGAAAUGCGUAGAUAUCGGGAGGAACAUCUAUGGCGAAGGCAGCCACCUGGACCAGCACUGACGCUGAGGCACGAAAGCGUGGGGGAGCAAACAGGAUUAGAUACCCUGGUAGUCC
rnacentral:rRNA from 1 species